UACGUAGGGGGCAAGCGUUAUCCGGAUUUACUGGGUGUAAAGGGAGCGUAGACGGCAUGGCAAGUCAGAUGUGAAAGCCCGGGGCUCAACCCCGGGACUGCAUUUGAAACUGUCAGGCUGGAGUGCAGGAAAGGUAAGCGGAAUUCCUAGUGUAGCGGUGAAAUGCGUAGAUAUUAGGAGGAACACCAGUGGCGAAGGCGGCUUACUGGACUGUAACUGACGUUGAGGCUCGAAAGCGUGGGGAGCAAACAGG
rnacentral:rRNA from 1 species